CUACUAUUCAAUUCUAGAUGGAUUCUAUGAAGUGGCAAAGGUCCAAGAGUGGAUUCAAAAGACUCUGCUUGGGUAACAGCUAUAUGAACUCCACCACCAAUGUCAACAGUUCUCUGGGGGCAGGAAGAGCAGUGGAUGCAGAAAGUCUCUGGUGAACUUUUGGCUGCUCUUCUCAUGGGGAUUACUCAUUGACUAUGUUCCUGGAAUUGUUUCUGUUUCUCCUUUCCCACCCACCAUUCAUGAAGUGCCACAGUGCAAACACCCUCCUUUCUGUAUAUAAAUCCUGAAGGGAAGUAGAGAAAAGAGGACCUCAUUCCUGGCCAACUAAAAGGAUCUCUUUCUACACUUCUGAACAGGAAAUACAAGACAAUCUUCUAGAUUGCAGAUGGAUUUCGUUGCUGGAGCCAUUGGAGGUAAAGAGAGACAGAGACAGAGAGAGAAAGAAAUGAAGGAAGAAAGAAAGAAAGAAAAAGAAACAAAGGAAAAAGAGAGAGAAAGAAAAGGAAGAAAGAAAGAAAAAAGAAAGAAAUGAGAGAUAGGGAAAAAAAAGAGUUGUGUUAGGAAUGAUUAAAAACCAUCUGUUAGGUAGAGUCCUGAACAGUAUUUGCAUGGAAAGUGUUGGAUUAUAUGGAGAAAAUUAAGAUCCAAAGAGUUAAUCUGAUAUUUCAGUUUGCCAAGACUCACAGGAAAAUCAUCAUGUCCAGCAACUUGUUUGAGCUUUAUUUUAGAAUCAUAUAAUAUACAAUGUCAGAGAUUAAAGAGGCCUGGAAAGCUCUCCCUCAUUUCUGUCCUCUGGACUUCCUUCAACUCCUAGCUAAAAUCCCACCUUGUGUGGGAAGACUUCCCUAGUUUCUUAAUUCUUUGCUCUGCUGAUUAUUUCCAGUUUAUCUUGUUUAUAGUUUGUCUGUACUAGUUGUUUGCAUAUUUUCUUUCCCAUUAGACUAAACUCUUUGAGAGUUUUGUCUUUCUUUGCUUUCUCAGAAUAUGGCACAGUGCUUGACAUGUAGUUGAUAUUUAAUAAAUGCUUUUUAUCUGACUUAGAAAUAUAGAAUAUAGAUUUUCAGAAUUAGAAAAUACUUUGGAAAUCACAAAAUAUAGAAUGUUAGAGCUAGAAUUUUGGAGUAGAAGGGACCUUAGUGCUUGUAGAUUUAAUUUAGAUCAAGGAAUUGAGGAAGUGAGACAUACUUACACGCUUACAUACACGCUUAAGAAUAUAUGACAUUUAACAUUCUAGUGCACACAGAGCCUUGUUGUCUAUGUCUUAAAUCCAGACCUGUAGUUUAUCACCUCCACUUUGCUGAGGGUUGAGAAGGAAUGUUUCAUCAUCAUUCUUCUGUAGUCAUGAUUGAUUAUUGCUUGAUCAAGUUCUGAAGUCUUGCAAAGUUUGUUCUACUGAUUUUGCUCACUUUACUCUGCAUGGGUUCAUACAAAUUUUCAAAGAUUUCUUUGAAUCUUCAUUUUUGGUCAUUUCUUAAAACACACUAAUAUUCUAUUGUGUUGUUUCGCCAUGGUUUGUUCCACUAUUCCUCAGUUUGCCAAGACUCAUAGGAAAAUCAUUUCCUAUUUCCAGGUUUUUUUGGCAUAAGAAAAAAUGCUGUUAUAGAUGUUUUUGUACAUAUGGGCCCUUUCUUUGAUCUCUUUAGUGGGUACAUGUCUCAUAGUAGCAUAACUAUCAGUAGUAGUAUUACUAUGUAGUUCAAAGGAUAUGCAGAAUUUAGUGAGUUUUGAAAUAUAAUAUCAAAUCACUUUCUUCUUAAAAGACUUUAUUAAGGCCAUUUAAUUGAAUAAUACAUUUAACAAAAUACAAUUGGCAUGAAUUUAAUUUGUAUAUAAAAAUAAAUUUCUUUUUCUUCAUUAAAAUUCUAGUAGGGCAUUCUUAAAACCCAAACCUUUCCUUAGAUUACAACUAUGGCCUAUGUAAAUUAGUAAUUAAAUUCAAAUUAAUAGGUAUUUUAGGGCUUACAGUAUGCAGAACAUUGUGUAAAGCUCCAGGGGGCAGAUGGAUAAAUAAUAGUUGGUACUGCCCUCAUAUAGCUAUCUGCCAUCUUUAUUUGCCUGUCAACUACUAAAAAUUGACUUGAUGGCAUGGACAAUUGUGGUUUAAAUGUGCCUGUUGACCCUGAAAUCUGGAUAGAAGAGACAAAUAAAGAAUGUCCAUCAAUAAUUGUGAUUUAAACAGAAAUCCCAUCUUCACCCAAGGGGUGGGAGGGGGGACAUUACAACAGUGAUUCAUGUGUGUUUUGAGCCCAAUUGCCUAUCCCUUGCUUCAGGAGAACUGAGAAAAGGGGAAAAUCACUUUCUAAAAGAGUGCAACCAAUUCAUAGUUCUAUCAACAAGAUUUCAAUGUGCCUAUCCUCCCAGAGCCCCUCCAACAAUUCAAAUAACAUCUUUCUUGAAUCCUACAAUAGCUAGAUGAUAGUGGAUAGAGUGUCUAGCUUGAAAUCAGGAAGACUCAUCUCCCUGAAUUAAAAUCUGACUUCAAGACACUUAUUAGUUCUAUAACCCUAGACAAGUCACUUAACUCUGUUUGCUUUACUUCUUCAUCUACAAAAUGAUCUAGAGGAAAAAAAAUGGCACAUCAUUCUAGUAUCUUGGUCAAAAAAAUCCCAAAUAGUAUCAUGAAGAAUUGGACAUGACUGAAAUGACUGAAAAACAAAAACAAA